rnacentral:rRNA from 1 species
UACAGAGGUCCCAACCGUUGUUCGGAUUCAUUGGGCGUAAAGGGUGCGUAGGCGGCGGGGCAAGUCAGGUGUGAAAUCUCGGGGCUCAACCCCGAAACUGCACUUGAUACUGCCUUGCUCGAGUACUGGAGAGGAGACUGGAAUUUACGGUGUAGCAGUGAAAUGCGUAGAUAUCGUAAGGAAGACCAGUGGCGAAGGCGAGUCUCUGGACAGUUCCUGACGCUGAGGCACGAAGGCCAGGGGAGCAAACGGG